GUCGCCGCGGUGCAUUGUGGUCUGUGAGCUAAAGGGAAGCUUGCUGCACCGGAAUCUGAAGAAUUCGAGGCGUCCGCCAAGUCCGCUGUUCACCGUCGGCUCGUCUCUCUGUGUCUCCCAUCUGUGCUGUGCUUUCUGCGGGGCGACUGUAAGGUUUAACAAGGAGAAGAAAAAUGUCUCAGGCUGACAAAAUGAAGCAAGGCCAGUUCCCCAACCCUGAGACCCCGGGGUAUGUUGGAUUUGCCAACCUGCCGAAUCAGGUUCAUCGCAAAUCAGUAAAAAAAGGAUUUGAGUUUACAUUGAUGGUGGUAGGCGAAUCUGGACUUGGAAAAUCCACCCUGAUCAACAGCCUGUUCCUCACUGACCUUUACCCUGAGAGAGUCAUCCCUGGAGCAGCAGAAAAGAUAGAAAGGACUGUUCAGAUCGAGGCGUCAACGGUAGAAAUUGAGGAGCGAGGAGUGAAGCUCCGUCUCACUGUGGUAGACACACCAGGAUAUGGAGACGCCAUCAACAGCCAAGACUGUUUCAGCACCAUUAUCAGCUACAUUGAUGACCAGUUUGAGCGCUACCUCCAUGACGAGAGCGGUCUAAAUCGUAGACACAUAGUUGACAAUAGAGUUCACUGUUGCUUCUAUUUUAUUUCCCCGCUUGGCCAUGGGCUGAAACCUCUGGAUGUUCAGUUUAUGAAGGCCAUUCACAAUAAGGUCAAUGUUGUUCCUGUCAUCGCCAAGGCAGACACGCUCACCCUCAGAGAGAGUGAGAGGCUCAAGCGCAGGAUUCUGGAUGAGAUCGAUGAACAUGGCAUCAAGAUUUACCACCUUCCUGAUGCUGAGUCAGAUGAGGAUGAGGACUUCAAAGAGCAGACCAGGAUCCUCAAGGCUAGCAUCCCAUUUGCAGUGGUGGGAUCCAACCAGCAGAUUGAGGCCAAAGGGAAGAAGGUGAGGGGCCGCCUGUACCCUUGGGGAGUGGUGGAGGUGGAGAAUCUUGAACACAACGACUUCCUCAAGCUGCGGAUCAUGCUAAUAACCCACAUGCAGGAUCUACAGGAAGUGACCCAGGACCUUCACUACGAGAACUUCCGCUCGGACCGCCUCAAACGGGGUGGCAGGUUGUCCUCCCAUGGUUACAUUCUGCCUCUGUCUCCUGCGUACGUACUUGUCUGUCAGCUUUCUUCUCUGCACCUCCCCCCACCUCAAAGAACAAACCUUUGCUUGGACACGCAUAGAGUUACAAAACAACACAGAAAUGCCACAGUCGGGCACAAUGGACGGCACAUAUGUUACAGCAGUGAAACGGAGCCAAAACAUCCAGAGCUGCGUAGGUGGAAGCUGAGUUACUAGAUUACAUUCUGUAUAUGGGUCAUGUACUUCCAGUUUUUCUUCUGCAUUUGAUUCAUACAGUAUUAUGUUGUCGGACUAGUAUCAUUCUGUAGAAGCCGACAGUAGCUCUCUAACUAAUCAUCAUUUUGCAUGUUCCCUAAAUGUAGUGAGGCAAAAGUUAAUGCUGUGGUUUCGUGGGUUGUGGUUUUACAUGGCGAGUCGGUAGCUAAAUGGCAUGUGCCGUUUGAGUAUCUGUAGAGGUCAUAAACAGGAUUACUGUGUCAUGUAACAUAGUGUGGACAUAUCAUCAUUUAACACUCCAUGUAGAUCAAAAAGAUUCUUUUAGACUUUCUUCAAAAGCCAACCCAGGAUAAGGCAGUGGUUUUACUGUCAUCACAUUGCCUCGCCAUCUGUCCAAGGUGGUGGACUGUUGAGGUACCGUUUCUUUUCAUUUGGGGGAGGUAACGCUGUUCCCCUGACUCUCGCACUUGCUACUUCUCCCUGGAAUCUCCCUGCUUUCAUCUCCUUGUAGUUAUUUGUUGUAGCUGCCCACUUUUCCUCUUCUGCAAAGACACACUAACUCACUGAUCCCUUCUUCGCCUUCUCCACGUGGUUUUUGUAAUGUUUGCCUAAUGCUACACAAACCUCUCAGCUGACUCAGUCCUAAUGCUUUAGAAAUCAUCACACAAAGUGAUUAUACAUUUAUAACCUCUGACUGUGCCUUUUUAACUUAAUAAUACUUUAGUUAAUCGGCAUUCAUUCUGCAUACAUAUUAAAGGUCCAUUCUGUAGCGCGUGACAUCAAAGGUAACUAAAGUUGUGUUGAUGCAGAAAGGGACCGGAGCCGGAGGAAAUGGACAAGGAUAUGAUCUUGCAGGAGAAAGAGGCUGAGUUGAGACGAAUGCAUGAGAUGAUUGCCAAGAUGCAGGCCCAGAUGCAGAAGCAGGGAGAGGAAGACUGCCCCCAUGUGUGAAAGGUCUACGGUAUGUGAGCCACGGCUUAAGUUGGACUAGAGAGACGGAGGAUAGCAGAGAAGGUGUAAUGAUGUUAUUGACUUGUACUGCUUGCCACUAUUGUAUUCUAAUCCUACAUGGGAUCUGGAGUUUUUUUUUUUUUAUACAUACAAGUAUAUUCAAAAAAUAUUACAUUUAUAUAUUUUCACACGGUUCUAUUUUUUUCUUUUGGUUCAUUUUAUUAAAGAUUUGCCAGUUACUCAAACAAAAUCACGUGACCCAUCUUUUAAAAAUGAUGGCAUAUAUCUUUGAUACAAACUGUUACUUUACCUUUUUUUUUUAUUUAGAAAACCAAAGUACUGCUGCUUGUAGUUACACAUCUCUCACGUGCUAACUUUGCUCUGUGAAAGCGCUUCAUUGGGAGUCGGCUAUGCUGUAAACUAGCAGCAGAAGUAGCUUUUUCCACCAUUGUUAUGCCAUUAUCUUGAUAUCUUUUUAAGUGAAGAGAAAACAUGAUUUCAUAUUCCCUCUGGUUAAUAAGUGACCACACAAGCAUCCCAAUAAAUAGGGUCCAUUUUGCUCAGUGUUCAUAUUACCCACCUCAUCUGCAUGCAACUCAACCCCGUCUGGUCAAAUUUUCAGGUGAAUUUUCCUUCUAGUGCUUUGAGAUCAGCGUCUCCCUUUACUGUCAAAGACUUAUUCAUUAGUGUUUUUAAAGAUCCUUUUGAGUUUGGUAUGAAUUAAAUAAACUGUGACCCUUGACCUUACAGUCUUGCUGUAGACUUGACAAAUGAAGGACGUGCAAAUGAGGUGUGACUCCUAUUUGGUGCUUUCAAUCGAUUAUAAUGAAUUACUCCAUGUUUCCUCGACACUCCUCUAAAGUGAACUCAUGUGCCAGGGAGCAUUAACUGUUUCAUGUCUGUUUUCUUUUUUGAUGCAGUGAAAUUUGAGUUAUACACUUUUACCUGUCCCAACUGCUGAGUAUUUUGUGGUUUCCAUGGCCACAGAGAUUAAAGUGGCCUAAUGAGGUCAUUGUAGCCAACGUUUCUCUCACCAGCCAAGAUGGGAGUUCUUGACAUUCCUCUGUGUGGUUUUUAUCCAAUAUUAAAGCACCAAAUAUUGUUCUUGAUGCAUAUAUUGUAAUAAGUUUUAUUAAACUUUAUUAAUCUCCUGUG